rfam:Bacteroidetes bacterium GWA2_30_7 gwa2_scaffold_10558, whole genome shotgun sequence.
GCCCGGGUGGCGGAAUUGGUAGACGCGCAGGACUUAAAAUCCUGUAAUCAUUAUGAUUGUGCGGGUUCAAUUCCCGCCCCGGGUA